rnacentral:miRNA from 1 species
GCAUGCCAUUUGCAAAUGUAGACAUCCCAAGGUAUUGCAAGUGGGGUAUGUCUAGUCCCUCUUAGUAGCCACUUCGUUACAAAUACUUUGAAAAGUUAGCAUUCUAAUUUUUUAUUUUUUUUUAAACACAAAAACAAAUAUGAAUGCUAAUGUUGGUCAGUAUAUGUGACGAAGUGGCUAAAAAAAAAGAAGCUGGAUAUACCCAGUAUUGAAUACCCUGGGUUUUCUACUUUUGCAAAUGGUACGC